CGUGAGGGAAGAAUGGUCUAUGGCCUGUAAACCUCUUUUGUCAAGGAAGAAUAAGGAUGACGAGUCAUUCGAUGCCAGUACUUGACGAAUAAGCAUCGGCUAACUCCGUGCCAGCAGCCGCGGUAAUACGGGGGAUGCGAGCGUUAUCCGGAUUUAUUGGGUUUAAAGGGCGCGUAGGCGGGACGCCAAGUCAGCGGUAAAAGACUGCAGCUAAACUGUAGCACGCCGUUGAAACUGUUGACCUGGAGACGAGACGAGGGAGGCGGAACAAGUGAAGUAGCGGUGAAAUGCUUAGAUAUCACUUGGAACCCCGAUAGCGAAGGCAGCUUCCCAGGCUCGAUCUGACGCUGAUGCGCGAGAGCGUGGGUAGCGAACAGGAUUAGAUACCCUGGUAGUCCACGCCGUAAACGAUGCUCACUGGAUCUUGGCGAUACACGGCCAGGGUUCAAGCGAAAGUAUUAAGUGAGCCACCUGGGGAGUACGUCGGCAACGAUGAAACUCAAAGGAAUUGACGGGGGCCCGCACAAGCGGAGGAACAUGUGGUUUAAUUCGAUGAUACGCGAGGAACCUUACCCGGGUUUAAAUGUAGAUUGCAUGAGGUGGAAACACUUCUUCCCUUCGGGGCUAUUUACAAGGUGCUGCAUGGUUGUCGUCAGCUCGUGCCGUGAGGUGUCGGGUUAAGUCCCAUAACGAGCGCAACCCCUAUCGCCAGUUGCCAUCGGUUCAAGCCGGGCACUCUGUCGAGACUGCCACCGUAAGGUGCGAGGAAGGCGGGGAUGACGUCAAAUCAGCACGGCCCUUACACCCGGGGCGACACACGUGUUACAAUGGCCGGUACAGAGGGCAGCCACGGGGUGACCCGGAGCGAAUCUCUAAAGCCGGUCGUAGUUCGGACUGGAGUCUGCAACCCGACUCCACGAAGUUGGAUUCGCUAGUAAUCGCGCAUCAGCCAUGGCGCGGUGAAUACGUUCCCGGGCCUUGUACACACCGCCCGUCAAGCCAUGGAAGCCGGGAGUACCUGAAGAUCGUGACCGCGAGGAACGGGCUAGGGUAAUACCGGUAACUGGGGCUAAGUCGUAACAAGGUAGCCGUACCGGAAGGUGCGGCUG
rnacentral:rRNA from 1 species